GUCUUUUUGCCUUUUCUAGGGCUGCUCCCAUGGCAUAUGGAGGUUCCCAGGCUAGGGGUCUAAUUGGAGCUGUAGCCGCCCGCCUAUGCCAGAGCCACAGCAACGUGGGAUCCGAGCCGUGUCUAUGAUCUAUGUCACAGCUAAUGGCAACGCCAGAUUCCUAACCCACUGAGCAAAGCCAGGGAUCGAACCCAAAACCUCAUGGUUCCUAGUUGGAUUCGUUAACCACUGAGCCAGGACGGGAACGCCUCUUAUUGCCAUUUUAUUAACUGCUUUGGAUUUGUUUUUGUUGCUCUUUUUUCUUCCCUUCUGUUGUUCUCUCCUCUUGUGGUUUGAUGACUGUCUUUAAUGUUGUAUUUGAGUUGAUUUUUCUUGUUUAUUUGUGUAUAGAUUGUAGAUUUUUGGUUUGUAGUUAUUCUGCAGUUUUGAUAUAAGAGUCUGUAUAUAUGAGAGAUUGUUUUAAGUUGUUGGUCUCUUAAUUGCAAGUGCAUCUCCAGUGUACUGCAUUUGUACCCUCCUCUUCUCAUGAUUUCUGAUUUUGGCUGCAUAUUUGUGCAUGGAUGAUUUCGUAUCUUUACUGUAUAUAUACCUUUAUUGGUGAGCCUUGUCAUUUGUGGUAUUUUGUUUCUGGUUGCGGCCUUUUCUUUUCUUGCAGACCUCAGUUUUACAAAGGAAGCUUUCCUGACCCCUAUUACUUUUUCUAGCACUCUUGAUCUCUAGACAUUAGCUGUGGUCAUUUAAGCUCUCUUGGUCUUAGUUUUCUUUUAAGAUUUAAAAAAAAAAAAGCUAGAAUAUUAUUCUCCUAAAUUCUAAUCUUGCUUAAAUCCAAACUGGUAUGACAGUCUGGGAGAACUGCUAUCUUUAAUGGCACUGCUAUUAACUUCAACUUUGUAACAAGGGUAUUCAUCGAAAUGAAAACCUCUACAUUCAGACACAUAUUUCCAGUACAAAAAUAAAACACUGCCAACCAGGAACCUCUUCAAAACGAUAUAAAUGAAUCCCUGACCCAAUGCAGUGGGUUGAAGGAUCCAGCAUUGACACAGCUUCGGUGUAGGUCAAAGCUGCAGCUCAGAUUCAAUCCCUGGCCCAGAAAUUUCCACAUGCUGUGGUGAGGUCAUUAAAAAAAAAAAAAAAAAAAGUUUAAAGAAACAAUAUAAAUGAGAUAAAGGCAGCACCUAAAUCACAGUGGCUCUGAACAUCAGAUUUUGGACUAACAUCAUGACCUGUCAUGUCAUGCAAGCAUAAAAGGUGUUGGAAGAAUCAACAAUUUCUGAGCUCCACAGAGGUAUGUGUAUUUGAAAUACAAUAAAUGGUGAAAAGGUUGAGAUGCAUGUAGCCCUCAGUCUAUGAGUUAACGUCUUUCAAUCUAUAAAAUAUUUAAAUGGCCUACUUUUGAAUAGUUUUCACAUUUCGAGGGUUCUAGAGUCUAGUUCCCUUCCUCCCUUCCUUUCUUUCUUUUUUGGCUGUGCCUAUGCCAUAGCAGUGACAAUGUUGUAUCCUUAGCCUGCUAGGCCAUCAGGAAUCUUCUUGAGUCUAGUUCUAAAGACAUUCUUUUUUGUUUUCCUUUAUAGGUUUUGCUUAGGAUGAUAGAAGAGAUUUUAUGGAUUUUUAGACUCAAAGCUGGAUUGGUCUGAUCCGGUAAAACACACACAAAAACUAACAAAAAACUAAAUAAAUCAAGAUACAACUGCCAGAAGAGUUUAUUACAUUUAUAUUUCUAGCAAGUGCAUGUAGCAGAAAUAUACGCUUUUUUUUUUUUUUUGUCUUUUUCUAGGGCUGUACUCAUGGCAUAUGGAGGUUCACAGGAUAGGGGUCUAAUCGCAGCUAUAGCCGUCAGCCUACACCACAGCCACAGUGUUCCCACUGUCCUCAAUCACUUACUGGCCAUAUUUGAAACAGUAUUAUUCGCCCACCAUUCUGGCAAAAAAUUUUAAAGUUGACAGUUCCAAGUACUGAUUAACAAAGCUGGUAGAAGCAUAAAAUACUGGUACAAUUGCUUUCAUAAACUGGCUCACCUAGUAAAGUAGAACAUGUGCACAUCCUAGAUCCACCCUUAGGUUUACAUACUAGAGAAACUCUGGCACUUGUGCACCAGAGACAUAACAAUGUUCAAAGCAGCAAUGUUGGUAAUAGCAAAAAUGCUGGAAAGAACUUAAAUGACCAUCAAUAGAUGGCAGAUAUAUGUUUUCAUAUAUUCAUGCAGUGGCACAUUAAAAGAAGUCAAAUUAACUACACUGUACAUAUAAUCAUGGACAAGGAAAAAGCAAGUCAUAGAAGAACACAUGAUAUUAUGAUUCUACUUAAAUCAAGAACAAAAUCAGGUAAAACUAAGAUAGGUUAGUGAUACAGACAAAUGGAGAAACAGAGAUAAGCAGGAGAUAGAGUAAUAUAAAAUGCUACUAGAUAGUAGGAGGUAGAGAAGGAGAGGGUACAAUGAGGAAAGGUUACACAGGAGGUUCUAAACCUAAAGGGUUGUUAAUGCCUUAUUUCUUGGGUGGAUAAUGUGUACAUGUGUUCUUUUUAUUGUUAUUCUUUCAACCGUACAGGAUAUAUUUCACAGUUUAAAACUAAGAGAAGAAAAGAAAUUAUACCCAGAUAUUCCUUAUUAUUUAGUGCCUACACAUUGCUAUUGUGAGGAAACAUGCCAAGCUUUCUUGAUGACCUCCAUAGGUAGUAACGUGGCUAACCACGUCAGUUUUCAGAAGAAUUAAGCUAGAGAGUCCACUUCCACAGUAUCUCAGAGUUCGGGCUUUCUUUUGUGGCACUUAUCUCAUGCAAAAUGACUUUUUUUUUUGGCCACAACCACGACAUGUGGAAGUUUCUGGGCCAGUGAUCGAACCCAUGCCACAACAGCAACCAGAGCUGCUGCAGUGAUAAUGCUGGAUCCUUAACUCACUGCACCACUAGAGAAUCAUCAGUUCUCUAUGUAAUGACUUUUUUUUUUUAAUUUCCUCAAUACAUUAUUUUUUUUUCUACUGUACAGCAUGGUGACCCAGUUAUACAUACAUGUAUACAUUCUUUUUUCUCACAUUAUCAUGCUCCAUCAUAAGUGACAAGACAUAGUUCCCAGUGCUACACAACAGGAUCUCAUUGCUUCUAUGUAAUGACUUUAUGAUUUUACACAAUAUCUCCUUUCCAUGAUAAACUGGAAAUUACUCUUUCAGUAAUCUAUCCUAGUCUAACACUAUGCCCGAUCUUGGGAAGUACUUAAUACAAUUUUUCGAAAGAAUGAAUAAAUGAAUGACUAUAAGAAUCUAAAGUUGGGAUAAUUUUUUACUAGUCUCUCCGCAAAUGUAGGAAAACAUACCACAAUUUUCCAGAAACUCAUCCCUGUUACUAGGCUCUCUGAACCACUGUCCUAGAAUUCAGUAGUUAUUUCUGCAUUUACGCAGCAAAGGUUAUUAAGGUCCUACUAUAAGUGAGCCCAGUGCUAGGUGCAGAAAAUGGCACUGACAGGAUAGACUCAGUCUCAUUUACCUAUGUAAUAACCACUCCAGAAUAAAAAGGAAAUGGUAGGCAGGAUUUUCCCCUUUGACCUCUUAGAACACUGAAAUGCAUACAAGGCAAGGCGGAGAUUUCAACAAAGGGUGUGGGGCAAGAUCCACUCUGGAGAACAAAGGGUUGCUAUUUCCUUCAGCUGCUCUAAACUAACUCC
rnacentral:lncRNA from 1 species